CCUGCAGCACGUACUUCUUGUCUUCGGGGAAGGAUCUUGCUUGUCCCAGUACAUUGGAACCCGUCUGUGGGACUGAUGGUGUGACUUACCCCAACGAGUGCUUACUCUGUAGAGAAAUCUGGCGUCGCAAAAAGGUUGACAAAAAGCAUGAUGGAAAAUGCAUUCAGGCCUCCUGCAGCACGUACUUCUUGUCUUCGGGGAAAGAUCUUGCUUGUCCCAGUACAUUGGAACCCGUCUGUGGGACUGAUGGUGUGACUUACCCCAACGAGUGCUUACUCUGUAGAGAAAUCUGGUGAGAAUGAGUUCUCCCGAUCACUUAAAAUACCAGCUCAAGUAGCAGACAACAAAAGCCUUUGGUACUGUGACU